rnacentral:rRNA from 1 species
GAUGAACGCUAGCGGGAGGCCUAACACAUGCAAGCCGAGCGGUAUUUCUUCUUCGGGAGAGAGAGAGCGGCGUACGGGUGCGGAACACGUGUGCAACCUGCCUUUAUCUAGAGGAUAGCCUUUCGAAAGGAAGAUUAAUACUCUAUAAUAUAUUAAUUGGCAACAAUUGAUAUUGAAAACUCCGGUGGAUAGAGAUGGGCACGCGCAAGAUUAGCUAGUUGGUGAGGUAACGGCUCACCAAGGCAAUGAUCUUUAGGGGGCCUGAGAGGGUGAUCCCCCACACUGGUACUGAGACACGGACCAGACUCCUACGGGAGGCAGCAGUGAGGAAUAUUGGUCAAUGGGUGCAAGCCUGAACCAGCCAUCCCGCGUGAAGGAUUAAGGUCCUAUGGAUUGUAAACUUCUUUUGUAUAGGGAUAAACCUACCCUCGUGAGGGUAGCUGAAGGUACUAUACGAAUAAGCACCGGCUAACUCCGUGCCAGCCGCCGCGGUAA